GUGACCAAAAUAUCUGACAAGAAUUUAGAAGAGGAAAAGUUUACUUUGGGCUCACAGUUACAGAGACUCAGUCCAUGGUUGUCCGGCUCCAUUGCUGUGGGCCUGAGGUGAGGCAAAACAUCAUGGUGGAAGGAGUGGCAGAGGAAAGCUGCUCAGCUCUUGGCAGCCAGGAAAGAGAAAGAGAGUGCACACUGACAGAGCCAAGGACACUCCCAACCCCCAUCGUGACCUGCUUCUUCCAGCCAGGUCCAGCCGGCCUACAGAGAGCACCCCGAGGUCCACCAUUCGCUGCUCCACUGAUGGGGUUACAGCUGUCGUGAUCAAACCCCUUCACCUCUGAACAUUCCUGCAUGGCCUAACAUGAGCUUUGGGGAACACCUCAUAUCCAAACCAUAUCACCUCCUAAAGAGGGAGUUGUAGAAAAGGUGGGCCUGUUGUUGGGGCAGCUGGAUUUAGGCAGAAAAAAAAAAUUGAAUAAAGCAGACAAAUAAAUAGCAGAGAUAACAGAAAAUGGAAUGAGAGAGCAAAAAUAUAAGUACAGAUAAGUAGCCUCCUUCCUGUGGUCCUCCUGCAACCCCCCCCCCCCACUUCUCUUUUCCCUGCCCACCUCUUCCC
rnacentral:lncRNA from 1 species